UGACGUUUCAAAAGAAAAUUUAUCCAAAAAAGAAUUUAAAUAUAUCCAAAGCAGACAGAAAAGUACAAUUAAUCUCUGUACUUUUUGUUUUGUUCUUGUUGAAUCUAGAUUCAACAAUUAUUAAGAUUUGAAAAUGUCAUGUUUUGAAAUUCCUCCCUCUAAUGACUGUACAUUUCUCUAUGGAAAAAACACAAUUUCUGAAAUAAUAUGUGAGUUAAAUGGAACAAAUUAAUAGUAGUCAUGUAUUAUUCAGGACAUAUUUACUGUAUUCCUCACAUGUUUCAGGCACCGUGCUAAGUGUUGGCCUGGGAUGGUGAAGAAGACAGACACCUCUCUGUCCUAGGAGAGAUCUAUUUGCAUCGUCACAACCAAGGAUGUCUCAGGAAGAUUCACAGAGAGGCCCUCUGAAGAAUCAAAAAUCACCCAAGAAAGAAUCACCUUUAAACAUCUGGCAGACCCGGAAAAAUGAAGCUCUCUUAUACUCGUACCAGCUGGCAAGACUAGACCGCUUCCCUUGUCUUUUAUCCUUCCUCCUUUACCAA
rnacentral:lncRNA from 1 species